rnacentral:rRNA from 1 species
UGAAGAGGUUUGUGACUGAGUGGCGGACGGGUGAGUAACGCGUGGGUAACCUGCCUCAUACAGGGGGAUAACAGUUAGAAAUGACUGCUAAUACCGCAUAAGACCACAGAGCCGCAUGGCUCAGUGGGAAAAACUCCGGUGGUAUGAGAUGGACCCGCGUCUGAUUAGGUAGUUGGUGGGGUAACGGCCUACCAAGCCAACGAUCAGUAGCCGACCUGAGAGGGUGACCGGCCACAUUGGGACUGAGACACGGCCCAAACUCCUACGGGAGGCAGCAGUGGGGAAUAUUGCACAAUGGGGGAAACCCUGAUGCAGCGACGCCGCGUGAGCGAAGAAGUAUUUCGGUAUGUAAAGCUCUAUCAGCAGGGAAGAAAAUGACGGUACCUGACUAAGAAGCACCGGCUAAAUACGUGCCAGCAACCGCGGUAAUACGUAUGGUGCAAGCGUUAUCCGGAUUUACUGGGUGUAAAGGGAGCGUAGACGGCUGUGUAAGUCUGAAGUGAAAGCCCGGGGCUCAACCCCGGGACUGCUUUGGAAACUAUGCAGCUAGAGUGUCGGAGAGGUAAGUGGAAUUCCCAGUGUAGAGGUGAAAUGCGUAGAUAUUGGGAGGAACACCAGUGGCGAAGGCGGCUUACUGGACGAUGCUGACGUUGAGGCUCGAAAGCGUGGGGAGCAAACAGGAUUAGAUACCCUGGUAGUCCACGCUGUAAACGAUGACUACUAGGUGUCGGGGAGCAAAGC